GAUCCUGGCUCAGGACGAACGCUGGCGGCGUGCUUAACACAUGCAAGUCGAACGCUGAAGCUCAGCUUGCUGGGUGGAUGAGUGGCGAACGGGUGAGUAACACGUGAGUAACCUGCCCUCUUCUUUGGGAUAACGCCCGGAAACGGGUGCUAAUACUGGAUAUUCACUGAUCUUCGCAUGGGGGUUGGUGGAAAGGUUUUUUCUGGUGGGGGAUGGGCUCGCGGCCUAUCAGCUUGUUGGUGGGGUGA
rnacentral:rRNA from 1 species